GAUGAACGCUGGCGGCGUGCCUAACACAUGCAAGUCGAGCGAUUCUCUUCGGAGAAGAGCGGCGGACGGGUGAGUAACGCGUGGGUAACCUGCCCUGUACACACGGAUAACAUACCGAAAGGUAUGCUAAUACGAGAUAAUAUGCUUUUAUCGCAUGGUAGAAGUAUCAAAGCUUUUGCGGUACAGGAUGGACCCGCGUCUGAUUAGCUAGUUGGUAAGGUAAUGGCUUACCAAGGCGACGAUCAGUAGCCGACCUGAGAGGGUGAUCGGCCACAUUGGAACUGAGACACGGUCCAAACUCCUACGGGAGGCAGCAGUGGGGAAUAUUGCACAAUGGGCGAAAGCCUGAUGCAGCAACGCCGCGUGAGCGACGAAGGCCUUCGGGUCGUAAAGGCUCUGUUCUUGGGGACGAAUAAAAUGACGGUACCCAAGGAGAAAGCCCCGGCUAACUACGUGCCAGCAGCCGCGGUAAGAGUGUGUGUA
rnacentral:rRNA from 1 species